rnacentral:rRNA from 1 species
GCCCUUAUGGCUGUCGUAGCUCGUGUCGUGAGAUGUUUGGUUAAGUCCAGCAACGAGCGCAACCCUUAUCUUUAGUUGCCAGCGCGUAAUGGCGGGAACUCUAGAGAGACUGCCCGGGUUAACCGGGAGGAAGGCGGGGAUGACGUCAAGUCCUCAUGGCCCUUAUAUCCAGGGCUACACACGUGCUACAAUGGUAAAUACAGAGGGCAGCGAGCCGGUGACGGCGAGCGAAUCCCUAAAGUUUAUCUCAGUCCGGAUUGGAGUCUGCAACUCGACUCCAUGAAGUUGGAAUCGCUUAGUAAUCGCGGAUCAGCAUGCCGCGGUGAAUAUGUUCCCGGGCCGUGUACACACCGCCCGUCACACCAUGGAGAGGAUUAUACCCGAC